rnacentral:rRNA from 1 species
AUUGAACGCUGGCGGCAUGCUUUACACAUGCAAGUCGAACGGCAGCGCGGGCUUCGGCCUGGCGGCGAGUGGCGAACGGGUGAGUAAUGCAUCGGAACGUGCCCAGUAGUGGGGGAUAGCCCGGCGACAGCCGGAUUAAUACCGCAUACGACCUGAGGGUGAAAGCGGGGGACCGAAAGGCCUCGCGCGAUUGGAGCGGCCGAUGUCGGAUUAGCUAGUUGGUGGGGUAAAGGCUUACCAAGGCGACGAUCCGUAGCUGGUCUGAGAGGACGACCAGCCACACUGGGACUGAGACACGGCCCAGACUCCUACGGGAGGCAGCAGUGGGGAAUUUUGGACAAUGGGGGCAACCCUGAUCCAGCCAUGCCGCGUGCGGGAAGAAGGCCUUCGGGUUGUAAAACGCUUUUGUUCGGGAAGAAAUCCUCUGGGCUAAUACCCCGGGGGGAUGACGGUACCGGAAGAAUAAGCACCGGCUAACUACGUG